UACAGAGGUCUCAAGCGUUGUUCGGAUUCAUUGGGCGUAAAGGGUGCGUAGGUGGCGCCGUAAGUCGGAUGUGAAAUUUCGGAGCUUAACUUCGAAACUGCAUUCGAUACUGCGGUGCUUGAGGACUGGAGAGGAGACUGGAAUUCAUGGUGUAGCAGUGAAAUGCGUAGAGAUCAUGAGGAAGACCAGUGGCGAAGGCGGGUCUCUGGACAGUUCCUGACACUGAGGCACGAAGGCCAGGGGAGCAAACGGG
rnacentral:rRNA from 1 species